AACGCUGGCGGCAUGCCUUACACAUGCAAGCCGAACGGCAGCACGGGAGCAAUCCUGGUGGCGAGUGGCGAACGGGUGAGUAAUAUAUCGGAACGUGCCCAGUCGUGGGGGAUAACGCAGCGAAAGCUGUGCUAAUACCGCAUACGAUCUAUGGAUGAAAGCGGGGGAUCGCAAGACCUCGCGCGAUUGGAGCAGCCGAUAUCAGAUUAGCUAGUUGGUGGGGUAAAAGCCCACCAAGGCGACGAUCUGUAGCUGGUCUGAGAGGACGACCAGCCACACUGGAACUGAGACACGGUCCAGACUCCUACGGGAGGCAGCAGUGGGGAAUUUUGGACAAUGGGCGCAAGCCUGAUCCAGCAAUGCCGCGUGCAGGAUGAAGGCCUUCGGGUUGUAAACUGCUUUUGUACGGAACGAAACGGUCCUUUCUAAUACAGGGGGCUAAUGACGGUACCGUAAGAAUAAGCACCGGCUAACUACGUGCCAGCAGCCGCGGUAAUACGUAGGGUGCGAGCGUUAAUCGGAAUUACUGGGCGUAAAGCGUGCGCAGGCGGUGAUGUAAGACAGAUGUGAAAUCCCCGGGCUCAACCUGGGACCUGCAUUUGUGACUGCAUCGCUGGAGUGCGGCAGAGGGGGAUGGGAUUCGAU
rnacentral:rRNA from 1 species